AGGGGAAGCGAGUGAAAUUCUAUGUGAGACGUAAGUUAUUUAGUGUGUAUUUAACAAUUUUCAUAAGAAAUAACACACUUAGUUUACUUAGUAUAAUAUACACGCGCUUUUUUUUCUGUUUCUCCGCCUGAUGGCCGACUUGUUGCUCCGCCUCACGCUGACCUGUGCUCGCCUUAUGGCUGAACUGUUGCUCCGAGUCCGCCUGACGAGCCACCUGUUUCUCCGGAUCUGUUUCUCCGCCUAACGGCGACCUGUUUCUCCGGACCUGUUUCUCCGGACCUGUUUCUCCGCCUAACGGCGACCUGUUUCUCCGGACCUGUUUCUCCGCCUAACGCCCGAGCUGUUGCUCCGCCUGACCUGUGCUCGCCUCACGCCUAGCCUGUUGAUCGGUGGACGGGUAAGCGCGCAUGGCAUCGGAAGGAGCUCGAAAAGUAUAAGGUGAUGACAAUGGAUAAUUGCGUGAAAAUCAAACUAAAAGAAUGCAGUCUUGAGGAGUUAAUCCCCACAUUUGAAGCACAGGAGCGAACCUUUCCUCGUUUUUAGGUCAAUUUGAAUACAAUUCAGAGGGGUGGCAUGGGGGCGCAGUGGGUAGUGCUGUCGCCUCACAGCAAGAUGGUCGCUGGUU